rnacentral:rRNA from 1 species
CCUAACACAUGCAAGUCGAGCGGUAACAGGCGUAGCAAUACGUGCUGACGAGCGGCGAACGGGUGAGUAACGCUUCGGAAUCUGCCCAAUGGUGGGGAAUAACCAGCCGAAAGGUUGGCUAAUUCCGCAUGAGCUCUACGGGGGAAAGCGGGGGAUCGUAAGACCUCGCGCCGAUGGAUGAGCCGAAGCCGGAUUAGCUAGUUGGUAGGGUAACGGCCUACCAAGGCGACGAUCCGUAGCUGGUCUGAGAGGACGACCAGCCACACUGGGACUGAGACACGGCCCAGACUCCUACGGGAGGCAGCAGUGGGGAAUAUUGGACAAUGGGGGAAACCCUGAUCCAGCGACGCCGCGUGUGUGAAGAAGGCCUGCGGGUUGUAAAGCACUUUUAGUGGGGAUGAAAAGCUCAGGGAUAACACCCCUGGGUCUUGACCUAACCCACAGAAAAAGCACCGGCUAACUCUGUGCCAGCAGCCGCGGUAAUACAGAGGGUGCAAGCGUNAAUCGGAAUUACUGGGCGUAAAGCGUACGUAGACGGUUGGAUAAGUCGGAUGUGAAAGCCCCGGGCU